UACGGAGGAUGCGAGCGUUAUCCGGAUUUAUUGGGUUUAAAGGGUGCGUAGGCGGUAUUUUAAGUUAGUGGUAAAACGUCGGGGCUUCACCUUGAUUGGCCAUUAAAACUGGAGUACUAGAGUACAGACGAGGUAGGCGGAAUAAGUUAAGUAGCGGUGAAAUGCUUAGAUAUAACUUAGAACCCCGAUAGCGAAGGCAGCAUACCGGCGCCCGACUGACGCUGAAGCACGAAAGCGUGGGUAUCGAACAGG
rnacentral:rRNA from 1 species